rnacentral:rRNA from 1 species
AGCCAGACUCCUACGGGAGGCAGCAGUGGGGAAUAUUGCACAAUGGGGGGAACCCUGAUGCAGCGACGCCGCGUGGGUGAAGGAGCACCUCGGUGCGUAAAGCCCUAUCGGCAGGGAAGAAACAGACGGUACCUGACUAAGAAGCCCCGGCUAACUACGUGCCAGCAGCCGCGGUAAUACGUAGGGGGCAAGCGUUAUCCGGAUUUACUGGGUGUAAAGGGGGCGCAGACGGCAAUGCAAGCCAGGAGUGAAAGCCCAGGGCCCAACCCCGGGACUGCUCUUGGAACUGCAUGGCUGGAGUACAGGAGGGGCAGGCGGAAUUCCUAGUGUAGCGGUGAAAUGCGUAGAUAUUAGGAGGAACACCGGCGGCGAAGGCGGCCUGCUGGACCGUGACUGACGUUGAGGCUCGAGAGCGUGGGGAGCAAACAGGAUUAGAUACCCCAGUA